rnacentral:rRNA from 1 species
UGACCGCUGGCGGCGUGCCUAAUACAUGCAAGUCGCGCGAACAGACGAGGAGCUUGCUCCUCUGACGUUAGCGGCGGACGGGUGAGUAACACGUGGAUAACCUACCUAUAAGACUGGGAUAACUUCGGGAAACCGGAGCUAAUACCGGAUAAUAUAUUGAACCGCAUGGUUCAAUAGUGAAAGACGGUUUUGCUGUCACUUAUAGAUGGAUCCGCGCCGCAUUAGCUAGUUGGUAAGGUAACGGCUUACCAAGGCAACGAUGCGUAGCCGACCUGAGAGGGUGAUCGGCCACACUGGAACUGAGACACGGUCCAGACUCCUACGGGAGGCAGCAGUAGGGAAUCUUCCGCAAUGGGCGAAAGCUUGACGGAGCAACGCCGCGUGAGUGAUGAAGGUCUUCGGAUCGUAAAACUCUGUUAUUAGGGAAGAACAAAUGUGUAAGUAACUAUGCACGUCUUGACGGUACCUAAUCAGAAAGCCACGGCUAACUACGUG